rnacentral:rRNA from 1 species
CAGUAGCCACGGUAAUCCGAAGGGGGCUAGCGUUGCUCGGAAUGACUGGGCGUAAAGGGCGUGUAGGCGGUUUCGACAGUCAGAUGUGAAAUUCCUGGGCUUAACCUGGGGGCUGCAUUUGAGACGUUAAGACUAGAGUGUGAGAGAGGGUUGUGGAAUUCCCAGUGUAGAGGUGAAAUUCGUAGAUAUUGGGAAGAACACCGGUGGCGAAGGCGGCAGCCUGGCUCAUUACUGACGCUGAGGCGCGAAAGCGUGGGGAGCAAACAGGAUUAGAUACCCGCGUAGUCCCUGUCUCUUAUAC